GCGGUUUGUCGCGUCUGCUGUGAAAGCCCGGGGCUCAACCCCGGGUCUGCAGUGGGUACGGGCAGACUAGAGUGCAGUAGGGGAGACUGGAAUUCCUGGUGUAGCGGUGAAAUGCGCAGAUAUCAGGAGGAACACCGAUGGCGAAGGCAGGUCUCUGGGCUGUUACUGACGCUGAGGAGCGAAAGCAUGGGGAGCGAACAGGAUUAGAUACCCUGGUAGUCCAUGCCGUAAACGUUGGGCACUAGGUGUGGGGGACAUUCCACGUUUUCCGCGCCGUAGCUAACGCAUUAAGUGCCCCGCCUGGGGAGUACGGCCGCAAGGCUAAAACUCAAAGGAAUUGACGGGGGCCCGCACAAGCGGCGGAGCAUGCGGAUUAAUUCGAUGCAACGCGAAGAACCUUACCAAGGCUUGACAUUCACCGGACCGCCCCAGAGAUGGGGUUUCCCUUCGGGGCUGGUGGACAGGUGGUGCAUGGUUGUCGUCAGCUCGUGUCGUGAGAUGUUGGGUUAAGUCCCGCAACGAGCGCAACCCUCGUUCUAUGUUGCCAGCACGUGAUGGUGGGGACUCAUAGGAGACUGCCGGGGUCAACUCGGAGGAAGGUGGGGAUGACGUCAAAUCAUCAUGCCCCUUAUGUCUUGGGCUUCACGCAUGCUACAAUGGCCGGUACAAAGGGUUGCGAUACUGUGAGGUGGAGCUAAUCCCAAAAAGCCGGUCUCAGUUCGGAUUGAGGUCUGCAACUCGACCUCAUGAAGUCGGAGUCGCU
rnacentral:rRNA from 1 species